UGGGGAAUUUUGGACAAUGGGGGAAACCCUGAUCCAGCCAUCCCGCGUGUGCGAUGAAGGCCUUCGGGUUGUAAAGCACUUUUGGCAGGAAAGAAACGGCGCGUGCUAAUACCAUGCGCAACUGACGGUACCUGCAGAAUAAGCACCGGCUCACUCCGUGCCAGCAGCCGCGGUAAUACGUAGGGUGCAAGCGUUAAUCGGAAUUACUGGGCGUAAAGCGUGCGCAGGCGGUUCGGAAAGAAAGAUGUGAAAUCCCAGGGCUCAACCUUGGAACUGCAUUUUUAACUACCGGACUAGAGUAUGUCAGAGGGAGGUGGAAUUCCACGUGUAGCAGUGAAAUGCGUAGAUAUGUGGAGGAACACCGAUGGCGAAGGCAGCCUCCUGGGAUAAUACUGACGCUCAUGCACGAAAGCGUGGGGAGCAAAC
rnacentral:rRNA from 1 species